UAAUUGCCAAACAGCCACAACUUCUCUGGUUUAGAUUUUCUGAAAUAGCAACCAGAAUAUUAAGGAAUACAAAAGCAUUGCCCUCAAGGUAUUGUCAUCGCUACAUGUUUCAAGCAUCCGCAAAGGAUUACCAUUGGUUGGUUUCCUUCCCAAGAACAACCAACACAAGAACAAUAAAUCAAGCUGGCCGGGCAUUAUUGACUAUAAUGUCUUGAUGCACUAUUGGUAGGGCACCAUCUGCCUUGCACAUUGUGCAUUGUAAACAUCGCAAACAAUUGUCGUGAAAUUAGUUCUCAAACUAAGAUCAUAACACCUGUACCGCUUAUACAA